rnacentral:rRNA from 1 species
UACCUGGUUGAUUCUGCCAGUAGUCAUAUGCUUGUCUCAAAGAUUAAGCCAUGCAUGUCUAAGUAUAAGCAAUUAUACCGCGAAACUGCGAAUGGCUCAUUAAAUCAGUUAUCGUUUAUUUGAUAGUACCUUACUACUUGGAUAACCGUGGUAAUUCUAGAGCUAAUACAUGCUAAAAAUCCCGACUCACGGAGGGAUGUAUUUAUUAGAUUAAAAACCAACGCCCUUCGGGGCUUCUUGGUGAUUCAUAAUAACUUCGCGAAUCGCAUGGCCUUGUGCCGGCGAUGGUUCAUUCAAAUUUCUGCCCUAUCAACUUUCGAUGGCAGGGUCUUGGCCUGCCAUGGUUACAACGGGUAACGGAGGGUUAGGGCUCGACCCCGGAGAAGGAGCCUGAGAAACGGCUACUACAUCCAAGGAAGGCAGCAGGCGCGCAAAUUACCCAAUCCCGAUUCGGGGAGGUAGUGACAAUAAAUACUGAUACAGGGCUCUUUUGGGUCUUGUAAUUGGAAUGAGUACAAUUUAAAUCCCUUAACGAGUAACAAUUGGAGGGCAAGUCUGGUGCCAGCAGCCGCGGUAAUUCCAGCUCCAAUAGCGUAUAUUAAAGUUGUUGCAGUUAAAAAGCUCGUAGUUGAACCUUGGGCCUGGCUGGCCGGUCCGCCUCACCGCGUGCACUGGUUCGGCCGGGCCUUUCCCUCUGGGGAUCCCCAUGCCCUUCACUGGGUGUGGCGGGGAACCAGGACUUUUACUGUGAAAAAAUUAGAGUGUUCAAAGCAGGCCUAUGCUCGGAUACAUUAGCAUGGAAUAAUAAAAUAGGACGUGCGGUUCUAUUUUGUUGGUUUCUAGGACCGCCGUAAUGAUUAAUAGGGACAGUCGGGGGCAUCAGUAUUCAAUUGUCAGAGGUGAAAUUCUUGGAUUUAUUGAAGACUAACUACUGCGAAAGCAUUUGCCAAGGAUGUUUUCAUUAAUCAGGAACGAAAGUUAGGGGAUCGAAGACGAUCAGAUACCGUCGUAGUCUUAACCAUAAACUAUGCCGACUAGGGAUCGGACGAUGUUAUUUUUUGACUCGUUCGGCACCUUACGAGAAAUCAAAGUCUUUGGGUUCUGGGGGAAGUAUGGUCGCAAGGCUGAAACUUAAAGAAAUUGACGGAAGGGCACCACCAGGAGUUAACCGCAAUUACGCACUCUGCUCCUUAAAGCAAGCCUUAUUUUUAAGGUCGGUGGUUGCUUAAAAUCUUGCUAGUCGGCUUUAUAUAGCUGGCGACACCCUCAAAUUGCGGGAACUUCUUAAAGCCUUCGACUACCGCGGCCCAUCGAAAGAUAGGGCGUCAGCACUAGGGCGUAACGGCCCUAGGGAUGGUAAAAACGUCGAGGAUACAGCGCUUCUUCGGGCGCUAGAAUAGAUAAUCCGCAGCCAAGCUCCCUUUCGGGGAGAAGGUUCAGAGACUUGACGGGGGUGGGUGUUAUACAAUAAGAUGACGCCUAAGAUGAAGUCCAAUCCACCGUCGAAAGAUAUGUGGCAUAUAGAUACGGGAGCCUGCGGCUUAAUUUGACUCAACACGGGGAAACUCACCAGGUCCAGACAUAAUAAGGAUUGACAGAUUGAGAGCUCUUUCUUGAUUUUAUGGGUGGUGGUGCAUGGCCGUUCUUAGUUGGUGGAGUGAUUUGUCUGCUUAAUUGCGAUAACGAACGAGACCUUAACCUGCUAAAUAGCCCGUAUUGCUUUGGCAGUACGCUGGCUUCUUAGAGGGA